rnacentral:rRNA from 1 species
UACGAAGGGGGCUAGCGUUGCUCGGAAUCACUGGGCGUAAAGCGCACGUAGGCGGAUCUUUAAGUCAGGGGUGAAAUCCUGGAGCUCAACUCCAGAACUGCCUUUGAUACUGGGGAUCUCGAGUCCGGGAGAGGUGAGUGGAACUCCGAGUGUAGAGGUGAAAUUCGUAGAUAUUCGGAAGAACACCAGUGGCGAAGGCGGCUCACUGGUCCGGUACUGACGCUGAGGUGCGAAAGCGUGGGGAGCAAACAGG